rnacentral:rRNA from 1 species
UACCAGCUCCUCGAGUGGUCAGGGCGUUUAUUGGGCCUAAAGCAUCCGUAGCCGGCUCAGUUGGUCUCCUGUUAAAUCCAACGGCUCAACUGUUGGUCUGCAGGAGAUACCGCUGGGCUAGGAGGCGGGAGAGGCGGACGGUACUCCGAGGGUAGGGGUAAAAUCCUUUGAUCCCCGGAAGACCACCAGUGGCGAAGGCGGUCCGCCAGAACGCGCUCGACGGUGAGGGAUGAAAGCUGGGGGAGCGAACCGG